rnacentral:rRNA from 1 species
ACGCUCGACACCUACGGGAGGCAGCAGUCGGGAAUAUUGCGCAAUGGAGGAAACUCUGACGCAGUGACGCCGCGUGCAGGAAGAAGGUUUUCGGAUUGUAAACUGCUUUAGACAGGGAAGAAAAAGGACAGUACCUGUAGAAUAAGCUCCGGCUAACUACGUGCCAGUAGCCGCGGUAAUCUGAGCGGGCUGGCAAGGC